rnacentral:rRNA from 1 species
AGGACGAACGCUGGCGGCGUGCUUAACACAUGCAAGUCGAGCGGAAAGGCCCUUCGGGGUACUCGAGCGGCGAACGGGUGAGUAACACGUGAGUAAUCUGCCCCUAGCUCUGGGAUAGCUCCGGGAAACCGGGAUUAAUACCGGAUAUGACCACUUUAGACAUCUGCUGUGGUGGAAAGAAUUUCGGCUAGGGAUGAGCUCGCGGCCUAUCAGCUUGUUGGUGGGGUAACGGCCUACCAAGGCGACGACGGGUAGCCGGCCUGAGAGGGCGACCGGCCACACUGGGACUGAGACACGGCCCAGACUCCUACGGGAGGCAGCAGUGGGGAAUAUUGCGCAAUGGGCGAAAGCCUGACGCAGCGACGCCGCGUGGGGGAUGAAGGCCUUCGGGUUGUAAACCCUUUCAGCAGGGACGAAGCGAAAGUGACGGUACCUGCAGAAGAAGCGCCGGCUAACUACGUGCCAGCAGCCGC